AAUUAUGUUACUUCGUGUGGAAUUUUGUUUGACCACUGUCUAACAUAUCCCACUGUCCACAUAGGGUAGUUGGUUUGUCUAGCUAACUCCUACAGUGUUCUAGCUAGAACAUUUAUAUUAUGUAGGGUGUUAGUACAUAUUCUAAAGGUGUGCACAUUAUCAGGAUUUGCAUGUUCCUUAUAUUUUCCACAAAUGAAAGGAUGUUGAACUUUCUCAUUUUUAACUCACUUGGGGUGCACAGAAAUGCUAUGUUGAGGUAUAUGUACAUUUAGUGUUUGUACCAAAAAUAUCAGAUGACUUAUUAAAGUGUAACCCCAUUAAAAUGAAGAUUGUUUGCUAGUUUCCAUGUUUUUACCUGUAUACUUAAAACUUAUAUUAUAUCGUAAGAAACUGCCAUAGGAAUUAAUAAUCAGCAAAACAAGAUCUGUAGAACAUUGUAGAAAAUAAGGUCAUAGUGAUUGACCUUAUAUAACACAGGUCCCUGGUGUACAUAACAUAGGAGGCUGUAGUGCACCUUGUAUAACACAGGUCCCUGUUGAAUGUAACAGGAGGGUGUAGUGCACCUUAUAUACAUGUAACACAGGUCCCUGUUGAAUGUAAUAGGAGGGUGUAGUGCACCUUAUAUAACACAGGUCCCAGGUAAAUGUAAACAGCAAAAAUGUUCAGCAAAGUAAGAUCUACAAAAAAGUUUAACGACCAAAACUAUCAAUUGACCCCUUAAGGAGUUAAUGGCCUUUAAGGACAAUUUUUAAGUUUCUAACUUUUAAAAUCUUCUCAAAUGAAUCUAGUAUAAAUUUUGUAUUUUAUUUCUUUGUACAUGUUGUAUGUCAAGAAACAUAGACACUGGCUAAAAUGGAACAUAUGGGUAAAAUGCAUUUAUAUGCUUUUGAAGAAAAUAUGACCGAUACAAUGAACAUUUAAAUGGCAUUUUUAAGCCACUCAUUAAUAUGGGCGCAUUGCAUUUGCACCAAUUUUUUCAAAAAUCCAAUCUUUCAUUUGCGCCACAAGGUUAUAUUUCAUUUGCGCCAAAAAUAAAAACUUCAUUUACACCAUUUUACAUGUAUUGUAUAGAGGAAAAGUUCAAUAUCCGUGAAUAACAUUUGUGUUUACAAUAUUCCCCCUGGAGAACUGAAGGAGUUCAUACACAUUUCUAAUACAAAACUGAGAGUCACUAAGGUUUGGAAUUAUAUAGUUUGAGGUGUCAAGAUGGACAUUAAUAUUGUCAAUUUAGAGACAAACAAACAAAAUAGUCUGUAUUUUAGGAUGGACACACAUAUAUGUUAUCAUAUGUUCUGAAAAAUUUGGAAAGCCAGAAGAC
rnacentral:lncRNA from 1 species